rnacentral:misc_RNA from 1 species
AAGUCGUAACAAGGUUUCCGUAGGUGAACCUGCGGAAGGAUCAUUAACGAAUCAAUGGGGGGAGGGAGGCGUGUCAGGGUGUCAGCGAGUGGGAAACCACCAGCUGGUGUCCCUUGCACAUCACCACCCAUCCCCUUAUACACAUAAACCCAAGGGUCUGCUGGAAACAGCGACCUUGGUGGUCUAUUCCCCUCGAAAGGGGGGUCUAGGCUUUGUUUGGGAGUGUUGCUGCUGUGUGUGUGUGUUAUAAGGUGAGAACGCGGGUCGGGUCGGGUGGUGAGUAAAAUCCAUCACCAGGCAAGCAAGCAGGUAUUGCCUCUAUCACUGCGCACAUGGCGGCUUCACAUACAUAAACACGUUUAUCUUCUUGUUUGACUUAUCAUAUUAUCAUUAAAAUGAUCAUAUACAACUUUUAACAAUGGAUCUCUUGGCUCUU